rnacentral:rRNA from 1 species
GACGUAGGGCGCGAGCGUUGUCCGGAUUUAUUGGGCGUAAAGAGCUCGUAGGCGGCUUGUCGCGUCGACCGUGAAAACUUGGGGCUCAACCCCAAGCCUGCGGUCGAUACGGGCAGGCUAGAGUUCGGUAGGGGAGACUGGAAUUCCUGGUGUAGCGGUGAAAUGCGCAGAUAUCAGGAGGAACACCGGUGGCGAAGGCGCCACUCUGGGCCGAAACUGACGCUGAGGAGCGAAAGCGUGGGUAGCAAACAGG